AAACAUUGAUUUAGGCCCAGCCCUUGUAUAUAUACGUAGCUAGGGACUUAUUCAAAAAAAAAAAAAAAAGGCUUCAACGUAAAAAAGUGUUUUGGGAGGAGCUAGGCACAGCAAUGAAACGAAGAAGACGUUUCGGUGAACGUUUCCCUAGACGGAAUACGAUUGCGGCUGCUUAUAGGCCCUGUUCUGAUACUGAACCGUUGGAAAAGGAAAUUUUACCGAAAAGUCAUGUUACUACGCCUUCAUCUAGCAUAGCUAAGCAAGAAGAAGAAGAAGAAGAAGCUCGCGAUGAUCAACCACAGCCUAAUACAUAAAAUUUUUUAAAAAAAAAACUUUUUAUUUAUGUUAUAUGUGAUUUUGAGAACAAUAACAAAGGCAUAGGCAUCAUCCAAUAAAAUGUAACAAAAUUUACUUCCAAAUCUUUUGAUUCAUCCUCGUUCUUUUCAUCUGUACAAGCAAUUCUUUCAAGGAAAAAGAACUGGGUCU